rnacentral:misc_RNA from 1 species
GCAAACUUGGUCAUUUAGAGGAAGUAAAAGUCGUAACAAGGUCUCCGUAGGUGAACCUGCGGAGGGAUCAUUACCGAGACGGUCCUCGUGGCUCGUCCACGAGGGCCUGACCUCACACCCCCUGUCGUCUUCUACCCUGUUACCUCCGGGAGGGGCCCCCCCUAAGCCGUGGUCACCACGGCUCGCGGGGGCCGCCCGGGGUGUCGAAUCAUCUCGACUCUUUAAACGGAUACCCAGUAGCGUCUGAGUUGUCGCCUAGCGAACGAAUCAAUCAAAACUUUCAACAACGGAUCUCUUGGUUCUGGCAUCGAUGAAGAACGCAGC